rnacentral:rRNA from 1 species
GAUUAUGGCUCAGGAUAAACGCUGGCGGCGCACAUAAGACAUGCAAGUCGAACGAACUUAAUCCUUAGUUUACUAUGGGAAGCGGUUAGUGGCGGACUGGUGAGUAACGCGUAAGCAAUCUGCCUAUCAGAGGGGGAACAACAGUGAGAAAUCACUGCUAAUACCGCAUAUGCUGUGAGUACGGCAUCGUACAAACAGGAAAGGAGCAAUCCGCUGAUAGAUGAGCUUGCGUCUGAUUAACUAGUUGGUGAGGUAACGGCCCACCAAGGUGAUGAUCAGUAGCCGGACUGAGAGGUUAAACGGCCACAUUGGGACUGAGAUACGGCCCAGACUCCUACGGGAGGCAGCAGUCGGGAAUAUUGCGCAAUGGAGGAAACUCUGACGCAAGUGACGCCGCGUGCAGGAUGAAGGUUUUCGGAUUGUAAACUGCUUUAGAUAGGGAAGAAACAAAUGACGGUACCUAUAGAAUAAGCUCCGGCUAACUACGUGCCAGCAGCUGC